rnacentral:rRNA from 1 species
UCAAAUCANGUANGACUACCCGCUGAACUUAAGCAUAUCAAUAA